UACAGAGGUCCCAAGCGUUGUUCGGAUUCACUGGGCGUAAAGGGUGCGUAGGCGGUCGGGUAAGCCUGGCGUGAAAUCUCCAAGCCUAACUUGGAAACUGCGUUGGAUACUAUCCGGCUCGAGGAAUGGAGGGGAGACUGGAAUACUUGGUGUAGCAGUGAAAUGCGUAGAUAUCAGGAGGAACACCCAUGGCGAAGGCAGCAAACUGGUCAUCAACUGACGCUGAGGCGCGAAAGCGUGGGUAGCAAACAGG
rnacentral:rRNA from 1 species